rnacentral:lncRNA from 1 species
UAGCUAUUAAGUUGUUGGCUAUAUUACACAGUGGAUUUUGAUUCGGAUCAGUUAGAGCUAAUAGCAAUUUUCAGUAAAAUAUUAACCAAACACACACAAAAGUCGCUCGUGUGGCUCCAUCCUCUCCUUCAAUAGGAUUAAUCAAGUUAGCUAUUUACUCUUUCCACCACUCCAGUGUUUUCCCACCUUCCACUCCAAACAAGAAAAUGACACUAAAUUCAUUUAAUACAAAUUUAUAUUAUUGUCUGAGGCAUUUUAAACAAUGCUUAAUUUAAUUUUCUUGUUUGGAGUGUGGUAUUGGAGA